CCUCCGGGGGGCAGCAGUGAGGAAUAUUGGUCCAUGGCCGCAGGGCUGAACCAGCCAAGUCGCGUGAGGGAUGACGGUCCUAUGGAUUGUCAACCUCUUUUGUCCGGGAGCAAUGGGCGCCACGUGUGUCGCUUUGCGAGUACCUGAAGACACAGCAUCGGCUAACUCCGUGCCAGCAGCCGCGGUAAUACGGAGGAUGCGAGCGUUAUCCGGAUUUAUUGGGUUUAAGGGUGCGCAGGCGGAAUGUCAAGUCAGCGGUAAAUUUUCGGGGCUCAACCCCGUCGUGCCGUUGAAACUGGCGUUCUUGAGUGAGCGAGAAGUAUGCGGAAUUCGUGGUGUAGCGGUGAAAUGCAUAGAUAUCACGCAGAACUCCGAUUGCGAAGGCAGCAUACCGGCGCUCAACUGACGCUCAUGCACGAAAGCGUGGGUAUCGAACAGGAUUAGAUACCCUUGUAGUC
rnacentral:rRNA from 1 species